rnacentral:rRNA from 1 species
UUUCCGAAUGGGGGAACCCAACAUCUUUAAUAGGAUGUUACGAUUGUGUGAAUACAUAGCACAUUCGAGGUAGACGCAGAGAACUGAAACAUCUAAGUACCUGCAGGAAGAGAAAGAAAAUUCGAUUCCCUGAGUAGCGGCGAGCGAAACGGGAAAAGCCCAAACCAGCAAGCUUGCUUGUUGGGGUUGUAGGACUCCAAUAUGGUAGUUCUUUCAGAUAGUCGAAUGACUUGGAAAAGUCAGUCAAAGAGGGUAAAAACCCCGUAGACGAAAUGUGGAAGACACCUAGGAGGAUCCUGAGUACGGCGGAACACGAGAAAUUCCGUCGGAAUCCGGGAGGACCAUCUCCCAAGGCUAAAUACUCCCUAGUGACCGAUAGUGAACCAGUACCGUGAGGGAAAGGUGAAAAGCACCCCGGAAGGGGAGUGAAAUAGAACCUGAAACCGUGUGCCUACAACAAGUCAAAGCCCGUUAAUGGGUGAUGGCGUGCCUUUUGUAGAAUGAACCGGCGAGUUACGAUUGCAUGCGAGGUUAAGUUGAAGAGACGGAGCCGCAGCGAAAGCGAGUCUGAAUAGGGCGUUUGAGUAUGUAGUCGUAGACCCGAAACCAUGUGAUCUACCCAUGUCCAGGUUGAAGGUGCGGUAAAACGCACUGGAGGACCG